rnacentral:rRNA from 1 species
UACAGAGGUCUCAAGCGUUGCUCGGAAUCACUGGGCGUAAAGGGUGCGUAGGCGGGUCUUUAAGUCAGGGGUGAAAUCCUGGAGCUCAACUCCAGAACUGCCUUUGAUACUGAAGAUCUUGAGUUCGGGAGAGGUGAGUGGAACUGCGAGUGUAGAGGUGAAAUUCGUAGAUAUUCGCAAGAACACCAGUGGCGAAGGCGGCUCACUGGUCCAUUACUGACGCUGAGGUGCGAAAGCGUGGGGAGCAAACAGG